GUCCACGCCGUAACGAUGUAUGCUAACGUUGGGUUUACCUUCAGUGUUGCAGCUAACGCAAUAAGCAUACCGCCUGGGAGUACGGUCGCAAGAUUAAACUCAAGGAAUUGACGGGCCCGCACAAGCGGUGGAGCAUGUGGUUUAAUUCGAAGCAACGCGAAACCUUACCUACCCUUGACAUGGUGAUUAUGGAUGUGAGAGAUCACGUCCUUCAGUUCGGCUGGGUCACACACAGGUGCUGCAUGGCUGUCGU
rnacentral:rRNA from 1 species